CCCAGCUUCCCGGAACCCUCGCCUUCCCGGAACAUUUUCUUCCUUUCUCUUUUAGGGUAGUUCAAAGCAUUGGAAGCUUCUUUUGGAAUUCUUCUUAAAUGAUUUCCUCUGCUGACCUUUGAAUUUGCAGUUCUUGCAAGAAACAAAAAAUCAAAAGGUGGAACAAGCAGUUUCAUCAAUGUAAGGAAGACUUGAGCCAGUAAAAGUGGUUACCCCUGCCCAGCCACAGUCUUGGUGAGCAGUUCUGAGUGAGCUUUCAACUUUAUGCUGCCAAGUUCUUGUCUCAAGCUUAAGCUGCACAUCUUUUGCCUUCUGCCCUGCGGCUUCUCUGAAGUCACAGUGUGGACACCCAGGGAGACACUUUGCAUUCCCAUGCCAACAGAAGAAUUAAUACCAAAGGUAUACAAUGCAGCAAGGAGCACAGAAACAGAUACCAUUCACUAACCUGCAAGGACAGUGGAAGGAAUAAAAAGUCCUGUGCCCUGGAAUGGAGCAGAGGCUUUGUGGACCAGGUGGCAUCCAGGACAGAUCAGUAACACGAGUGAUA